rnacentral:lncRNA from 1 species
CUUUAAGAGAAAUCCUCAUCUUUUUCUUGAAAUCCUCCUUAUGGACUCUCUUAAAGAUACUGUAUGUUCUGAAACUCUACUAUUAAUAUAUACUGUUCCUGUAAUACUGCAUUCAUUUUAAAUCAUAUGCAUUUGGGGGAUUUUUUUCAAGCUCUCUGACAAUAUAAUUUAGACAGGAACCAAAAUGGUAUAGUCAGAGCUAUUUCUGAUCCAGUUAAUCUUUGCAUUAGAAGAUAGUUCCUGGCAAGAUACAGAAGUGAAAAUUUAACUCUGUGAGAAUACAAGAACACUUGACAACUACUAUCAUCACUGUAGCUGACUAAGAAACUGCUACUAGGAAAUGUAAAAUUACACUGAAGGAAUCGGCUUCCUGACCUUUGAACAGAAAUGAAUUCCUUUAUUGCAAGAAAUUAUGAUUAUUUGCUGGUGUGGAAGACAAAUGAGCUGAUGUUCCACUGGGUAUUCUGAACAACAUCCACUACAGCAUUGCUCAAGGUUCAAGAGUGAAAUUCAUAACAAAUGUCAGAAGGAACAGCAUCGUGCUUGAGAUUGAAGAGAGGCUCAGAUUGAAGAAGCCUCAGGUAGGUUUUUUUUCUCAUCUGAAAUAAUGAAGGCAACGUUCUUGAUUUACAUGCUGAAGGAAAUCAGGCAGAUCGAAAUCAUUUAUGUGAUGAUGAUCUCUGUGG